AUUGAACGCUGGCGGCAGGCUUAACACAUGCAAGUCGAGCGGAGCGAGGGUGCUUGCACCUUAGCUUUGCGGCGGACGGGUGAGUAAUGCUUAGGAAUCUGCCUAUUAGUGGGGGACAACAUUCCGAAAGGAAUGCUAAUACCGCAUACGCCCUACGGGGGAAAGCAGGGGAUCUUCGGACCUUGCGCUAAUAGAUGAGCCUAAGUCGGAUUAGCUAGUUGGUGGGGUAAAGGCCUACCAAGGCGACGAUCUGUAGCGGGUCUGAGAGGAUGAUCCGCCACACUGGGACUGAGACACGGCCCAGACUCCUACGGGAGGCAGCAGUGGGGAAUAUUGGACAAUGGGCGGAAGCCUGAUCCAGCCAUGCCGCGUGUGUGAAGAAGGCCUUUUGGUUGUAAAGCACUUUAAGCGAGGAGGAGGCUACUUAGAUUAAUACUCUGGGAUAGUGGACGCUACUCGCAGAAUAAGCACCGGCUAACUCUGUGCCAGCAGCCGCAGUAA
rnacentral:rRNA from 1 species